rnacentral:rRNA from 1 species
ACUCCUACGGGAGGCAGCAGUGGGGAAUAUUGGACAAUGGGCGAAAGCCUGAUCCAGCCAUGCCGCGUGUGUGAAGAAGGUCUUCGGAUUGUAAAGCACUUUAAGUUGGGAGGAAGGGCAGUUACCUAAUACGUGAUUGUUUUGACGUUACCGACAGAAUAAGCACCGGCUAACUCUGUGCCAGCAGCCGCGGUAAUACGGAGGGGUGCGAGCGUUAAUCGGAAUUACUGGGCGUAAAGCGCAUGCAGGUGGUUUGUUAAGUCAGAUGUGAAAGCCCGGGGGCUCAACCUCGGAAUUGCAUUUGAAACUGGCAAACUAGAGUACUGUAGAGGGGGGUAGAAUUUCAGGUGUAGCGGUGAAAUGCGUAGAGAUCUGAAGGAAUACCGGUGGCGAAGGCGGCCCCUGGACAGAUACUGACACUCAGAUGCGAAAGCGUGGGGAGCAAACAGGAUUAGAUACCCUGGUAGCUACGAG